rnacentral:rRNA from 1 species
UACGUAGGGUGCGAGCGUUAAUCGGAAUUACUGGGCGUAAAGCGUGCGCAGGCGGUUUUGUAAGCCAGAUGUGAAAUCCCCGGGCUUAACCUGGGAAUGGCAUUUGGGACUGCAAGGCUCGAGUGCGGCAGAGGAGACUGGAAUUCCUGGUGUAGCAGUGAAAUGCGUAGAUAUCAGGAGGAACACCGAUGGCGAAAGCAGGUCUCUGGGCUGACACUGACGCUCAUGCACGAAAGCGUGGGGAGCAAACAGG